rnacentral:rRNA from 1 species
AACGAACGCUGGCGGCAGGCUUAACACAUGCAAGUCGAACGCCCCGCAAGGGGAGUGGCAGACGGGUGAGUAACGCGUGGGAAUCUACCUAGUUCUACGGAACAACAGUUGGAAACGACUGCUAAUACCGUAUACGCCCUAUGGGGGAAAGAUUUAUCGGAAUUAGAUGAGCCCGCGUAAGAUUAGCUAGUUGGUGAGGUAAUGGCUCACCAAGGCGACGAUCUUUAGCUGGUCUGAGAGGAUGAUCAGCCACACUGGGACUGAGACACGGCCCAGACUCCUACGGGAGGCAGCAGUGGGGAAUAUUGGACAAUGGGCGCAAGCCUGAUCCAGCCAUGCCGCGUGAGUGAUGAGGGCCUUAGGGUUGUAAAGCUCUUUCACCGAUGAAGAUAAUGACGGUAGUCGGAGAAGAAGCCCCGGCUAACUUCGUGCCAGCCGCCGCUGUAAAAC